UAGUUUGAUUCUGGCUCAGAUUGAACGCUGGCGGCAUGCCUAACACAUGCAAGUCGAACGGUAACGACGGAAGCUUGCUUCCGGGCGACGAGUGGCGGACGGGUGAGUAACGCGUGGGAAUCUACCUAGUAGCGGGGGACAACUCGGGGAAACUCGAGCUAAUACCGCAUAAUCCCUUCGGGGGAAAGGCUUCGGCCACUAUUAGAUGAGCCCGCGUCCGAUUAGCUUGUUGGUGAGGUAACUGCUCACCAAGGCUACGAUCGGUAGCUGGUCUGAGAGGAUGAUCAGCCACACUGGGACUUAGACACGGCCCAGACUCCUACGGGAGGCAGCAGUGGGGAAUAUUGCACAAUGGGCGAAAGCCUGAUGCAGCAAUGCCGCGUGUGUGAAGAAGGCCUGCGGGUUGUAAAGCACUUUCAGUAGGGAAGAUAAUGACGGUACCUACNNANGAAGCACCGGCUAACUCCGUGCCAGCGGCCGCGGUAAUACGGAGGGUGCGAGCGUUAAUCGGAAUUACUGGGCGUAAAGCGCGCGUAGGCGGCUCACUAAGUCGGAUGUGAAAGCCCUGGGCUUAACC
rnacentral:rRNA from 1 species